rnacentral:miRNA from 1 species
UCACAGUCCCUGUCCUCAACGAGCUUCCUGUCUAAUGGGCGAGACAGACAAGGAAACAGGCGGUCCCCCGAGGGCCAGGAGCACGCCCUCAGCCUCUGUGUCUCACUCCC